rnacentral:rRNA from 1 species
AGGGAAAGAGGGAGGCAUGCUUUACACAUGCAAGUCGAACGGUAACAGGCCGCAAGGUGCUGACGAGUGGCGAACGGGUGAGUAAUGCAUCGGAACGUGCCCAGUCGUGGGGGAUAACUACUCGAAAGAGUAGCUAAUACCGCAUACGAUCUAUGGAUGAAAGCGGGGGACCGUAAGGCCUCGCGCGAUUGGAGCGGCCGAUGUCAGAUUAGGUAGUUGGUGGGGUAAAGGCUCACCAAGCCAACGAUCUGUAGCUGGUCUGAGAGGACGACCAGCCACACUGGGACUGAGACACGGCCCAGACUCCUACGGGAGGCAGCAGUGGGGAAUUUUGGACAAUGGGCGCAAGCCUGAUCCAGCAAUGCCGCGUGCAGGAAGAAGGCCUUCGGGUUGUAAACUGCUUUUGUACGGAACGAAACGGCUCUGGUUAAUACCCGGGGCUAAUGACGGUACCGUAAGAAUAAGCACCGGCCAACUACGUG